CGCCAGACUCCUACGGGAGGCAGCAGUGGGGAAUAUUGCACAAUGGGGGAAACCCUGAUGCAGCGACGCCGCGUGAGUGAAGAAGUAUUUCGGUAUGUAGAGCUCUAUCAGCAGGGAAGAAAAUGACGGUACCUGACUAAGAAGCCCCGGCUAACUACGUGCCAGCAGCCGCGGUAAUACGUAGGGGGCAAGCGUUAUCCGGAUUUACUGGGUGUAAAGGGAGCGUAGACGGCAUGGCAAGUCAGAUGUGAAAGCCCGGGGCUCAACCCCGGGACUUCAUUUGAAACUGUCAGGCUGGAGUGCAGGAGAGGUAAGUGGAAUUCCUAGUGUAGCGGUGAAAUGCGUAGAUAUUAGGAGGAACACCAGUGGCGGAGGCGGCUUACUGGACUGUAACUGACGUUGAGGCUCGAAAGCGUGGGGAGCAAACCGGAUUAGAUACCCUUGUAUGC
rnacentral:rRNA from 1 species